ACUCACUGCAUCCUGCCACCUUGUGAAGGAGGUGCCUGCUUCUCCUUUGCCUUCUGCCGUGAUGAUGAGGAAACUGAGGCACUGAGAGCGUACAUAACUUCCCUGAGAUCAUACAACUGCUAUGUUCAUGGAUAUUUUAUUUUCAUGUUUUUGUUUUAUCUUCAAAUUGUGUGUUGUUUCAUCUAUAAUUGGUCUCCUUAAGCAACUCUACACUGAUGUGAAAGUAUCUUUCAAUAGAAUCGUCUCAGCUAUCCUUGAACUGUUCCUCUUCCAUAGAAGUUGGGAAUCACCAUUCCAACCUUCAUCAACCACCACCCUGAUCAGUCAGCAGCCAUCAACGUCAGGGCAAGACCCUCCACCAGCAAAAUGAUUAUGACUUGCAAAACGCCC
rnacentral:lncRNA from 1 species